rnacentral:rRNA from 1 species
UUGAACGCUGGCGGCAGGCCUAACACAUGCAAGUCGAACGGUAACAGGAAACAGCUUGCUGUUUCGCUGACGAGUGGCGGACGGGUGAGUAAUGUCUGGGAAACUGCCUGAUGGAGGGGGAUAACUACUGGAAACGGCAGCUAAUACCGCAUAACGUCGCAAGACCAAAGAGGGGGACCUUCGGGCCUCUUGCCAUCGGAUGUGCCCAGAUGGGAUUAGCUAGUAGGUGGGGUAACGGCUCACCUAGGCGACGAUCCCUAGCUGGUCUGAGAGGAUGACCAGCCACACUGGAACUGAGACACGGUCCAGACUCCUACGGGAGGCAGCAGUGGGGAAUAUUGCACAAUGGGCGCAAGCCUGAUGCAGCCAUGCCGCGUGUAUGAAGAAGGCCUUCGGGUUGUAAAGUACUUUCAGCGGGGAUGAAGGGAGUAAAGUUAAUACCUUUGCUCAUUGACGUUACCCGCAGAAGAAGCACCGGCUAACUCCGUG